UGCCUGGCAAACAUAGCCUAUGGUGCUGCUAUUCCCAAACUCUUUAGCUUCCCGCGCGCUAUUCCCAAUCCCCCUCUUGAUACUCUGGGAGAACCCUAACUCUCUCCAUUCCUGAAAAUCCUUCUCUCUCUCUUCUAUUACUUUCCCUCUCAAAAUCCCCUCUCUCCUAUCUCUGCUGUAGAAAAUCUCGAUCUCAGCUGGAGAUAAACUAAGCAGUCGAAAGUUGACCGCACCGAUGAGGGAAGAAUCAAGGAGAGACGUUGAAGAGAGGACCACUCAAGACUCCUUAUAAGUUAUACUUGAGGAUUGCUUUAAGAGGGUUUCGAGAGAGGAAGGUUUGCUGUCUUUCUGGAGGGGAAAUCAGGACAACAUCAUUCGGUAUUUCCCUACCCAGAUGCUACCACAAGUACAAUUAAGAGGAGAGGGAUAGCAAGGGGACUCAUAUUUAUAUGAUACCGAUACGUAUCAGCCAGUUUUCUAUCCACAAUGUCAGUCUAAUUGGGCAAAAAGGCGCUCAUUAUUGAAUUUUCAACCAAUACCAAUUGUACAUCUGGAUGUCAAUCAUGAUUGAUAUCAAUACAACCAGGCGAUCCAAUACCAAUACCCAAAACCAUGGUACCAAUUAAUUCCCAUCUUUCAUCAUGGGUGAAUGAAAACUUGGUCCAAAAUAAUUUUAUACAGUUCUCAUA